GGAGCUGCCCGAUUGCCAGAUCAAGCCUGGAUACCUGAAAUUACAAGCAGAGCACCUGCAGGAACGUGGCAAAUAUAGCUUUUUUAAGACCUUGUAUUUCUUGCAGCAGGCAUGACAAAGCUGUGUGUUCCCAUUAAGGAGGAGGUGGAAUGCUGGAAGCCUCCCUGAAAGUGUGGUGCUGCUGCCUGUGCUGCCACACACGUUUGGGAUCAUUAUUUGGCUAAUGACAUUAAUGAAUUUGUCCAGCCUGCUGCAGCAGUUCAGUUUCAUCAUCAUUGUGUUCUUUGGGAAAAUGUUAAAAGCAUAAACUGCGGGAAAAAAAAAAUCAAACUGAUUUCCCAGCCAGAGAAAACUAUUGCAUCUAAAUUGUACAUUAACUAGGCUGUGUUCCACACAAAGGAACAUGAACUUCUGCUGCACCAUUUUUUUUCAUAUUCAAGAUAAUUAUGUAUUUGUCCUUGCCUUACCUUGUUCCUUUUUUGCAGCUCGAGUUACUUUUUUCUAAUAAGAACUCAUUUAAAUGCUCAGAUUAACAAAAGGACUGGUCAAUGUGAUAGGUUAUUAGAACAAAAUCAGGUGCUAAAUCCUCCUCUGCUGUUAACUGAUUCCACUCCAAAUGAUGUGCAGCAGCUGAGGGUUCAGCCCCACAGCUUUUCUGGGUGAAAAAACACCUCUGUAUCUCACAGGUGUGUCCUUUCUUGUGGUUUUUAAUGUUGAUCAUUGAGUGGGAAGAGGGAACAAAGGCGUGGGGGAUCCCCAAGAUCCCCUGAAGGACCUGACCAGCCUCAUCUGUGUCUCCCACUGGGGUCUAUAUUUAAACCCAGCCCUGGGGUCUCAGUCUGGUUUAACUCUGCUGAGGGAGAGGUGCUCCCUGCCUUGGCUGUGACCCUGAUUCAGCUGGAUUCGCUUCUCCAGCUGCACCUUGGAGCUGCUUUGUCACCACAGCUUUUUCUGGGGUCAGAUUUGAGACUCCAGCAAAGAGAUGUAACCAGGAGAAGGACUGAGAAAUUGCUGGAAAUGGAUUUACCAGUGGUUUCCUGGGAGAAGAGACCAACCCCACCUGACUGCAGCUACCUGAAAGGUGCUUGAGAGUGAUGAGGGCACCCCUGAGUCUCCUUUUCUCCAGGAUGCACUGCUGUGACAGCAUCCUGGAAUCAAAUGUGAAAAAGAAAGUACAAGAAAAUUGUGGAUCUUGACAAAACCACGGGGCUGUUACAGCUGCAGCAUAAUGGGGGCACAGGGAAAUUAAAACUUCCCACUUUUCCCUGAGCUGCAUUUCUACAGCUGGCAGUGAGAACUUAAUUUCUGAUUAUGUGUUAGUUAAAGAGCUAAUACAGUUGGGAAGAGGCUGUUCUAGCAGGCAGAUGAAGUUUCCAUCCACCUUCUUGCAGCUAAACCAAGAAUUGAACUGGGACAAAUGGAAUAAGGAGGUCAUGAACAUUGCAAAUGUGCUGCCUUGGUCGGGCUGGGCUUUAAAGGUUUUUUUCCCUGUCCUUUCUGACAAAGAAUAUUCUAAGGCUGAAAUGGGUUUUUAUUUAUUAAAAAAAAAAUACAGGUUAAUUCUUCAGCAGAACUUAUGGCUAUGUCUGAAAUACAAGGAAAUGUCAGCCCUUGGUGUCCUUGCUCAUGGCAGGGGUUUGGAAUGGGAUAAUCGCCAAGGAGAUACUGCAAUGGUCAUGCUAAAAGUUGAGUUGAAGGCAGAAAGAAAUGAAAGCACACUGGAAGUGUUUGGGUGUUUUUUAUAGUCAAUUAAGGGGUAAGAAAAGAAAUAAAGGAAGUGAAAAAGGAAGUGUUGGCUGGGGCAAACAGGAUUUCCUCUCAGCUCUCAGCAGGUUUUGGGUAAAGAGGGAGGGAAUAUCCCUGGAGUGACAUCCACUCCUGCAUGGAGCACUUGGUCCUGUAUCCAGCACUGGAAUUAAGGGAAUCAAAGCCACCAUUGCAUCCUUUAUUUCCUUCAAAUAUUAGUAGUAAAUGGGGUCAGAACUGCCAUUGAGGCUGCAGGUAGAUUGGCCUGAUUUUAGGUUGUUUCCUGUCAUUCCAGGUGGAUAUUUCCAUGUAGCUUCCACUGGGUUUAUGCUGGCAAAGAUCAUAGCCUGAACUUGGGCUGGCACUGAGUUUUUAAUCCCUAUUUUUCUGUGAUUCCAUUCAUGCUGCAAGAUGUCAGAGCUCUGUAUGGUAAUGAACAGAGAUGUGCAGAGGUUUUGGUAGAGAUUUCUCAUCACUUUUGUGUCAGAUUCAGCUGAGCACGGAAAGCUGCACUAAGCACAGGGAUUACAGCCACAGUGAAGAAUCUAAAUCUCUCCUCUCUCUUCUGAUCACAUCACUGUGACUGUAAUUAUAUUUCUAAAUUAUGUCCUACUGUCAGCUCCUGCCUGCCUGGAAGAGGGCAUUUGUUUUAUCCUUGGUGUUUAGCUGUUUUAGGCAGAGGGGUUGGCAAUGUCCCUCUGCUGCUCUAUCUCACAUUCAACAUUUGAUACCAAUUAACAAAUAAUGGCACUUGCAUUCAUAUCUUACUUUUGGUAUCUUAAUUCCCCGUUGUUUGAAGGGUAGGAGAUGUGUUCUGAACUUUCUCACCUGUGUUCUCAAAAUAGAAUACACUCAAGCCACACUUUUCUGGGGGCUGUCUUUGCAGCCCAAAGUUGUUUCUGUUCUUUGUCUUUGCAACGCAACUUCUGAGGGAGCACUGGCUGGAUUUGUGGCAAAUUUCUCUUGGCGUAGCAGUGAUACAAGAGGCACCACCAGUGUCUGUGGGAAGGUGAAGCCCUGGCAGCAGAGUUCUCCUGACA